UGCCAUAUCACAUUGAAACACCAGUUCUCAUAUGAUCACUGAAGUUAAGCAAUAUUGAAUUUGGUCAGUACUUAGAUGGGUGACCACUUGG